rnacentral:siRNA from 1 species
UACCCCUACUAUGUGAGAACCG